rnacentral:rRNA from 1 species
GUAGGGAAUAUUGCGCAAUGGGGGAAACCCUGACGCAGCGACGCUGCGUGAGUGAUGAAGGCCUUCGGGUCGUAAAGCUCUGUUGCAGGGGAAUAAAAAAAUGAAGGUACCCUGUGAGGAAGGAUCGGCUAACUUCGUGCCAGCAGCCGCGGUAAGACGAGGGAUCCUAGCGUUGCUCGGAAUCAUUGGGCGUAAAGAGGGCGUAGGUGGCUUGGUAAGUCAGGUGUGAAAGCCCAGGGCUCAACCCUGGAAGUGCAUUUGAUACUGCUGAGCUUGAGUGUCGGAGAGGUUACCGGAAUACCUGGUGUAGUGGUGAAAUACGUAGAUAUCAGGUGGAACACCGGAGGCGAAGGCGGGUAACUGGACGAACACUGACACUGAGGCCCGAAAGCGUGGGGAUCAAACAGGAUUAGAUACCCCUGUAGUCC